rnacentral:rRNA from 1 species
UACGUAGGGGGCAAGCGUUGUCCGGAAUCAUUGGGCGUAAAGAGCGUGUAGGCGGCUUGACAGGUCUGCUGUGAAAACUCGAGGCUCAACCUCGAGAUGUCGGCGGAAACCGUCUGGCUAGAGUCCGGAAGAGGAGAGUGGAAUUCCUGGUGUAGCGGUGAAAUGCGCAGAUAUCAGGAAGAACACCUAUGGCGAAGGCAGCUCUCUGGGACGGUACUGACGCUGAGGUGCGAAAGCGUGGGGAGCAAACAGG